rnacentral:rRNA from 1 species
AUUGAACGCUGGCGGCAGGCCUAAGACAUGCAAGUCGAGCGAGAAAGCCCUUCGGGGUGAGUACAGCGGCGGACGGGUGAGUAACGCGUAGGAAUCUACCUAGUAGUGGGGGACAACUCGUGGAAACGCGAGCUAAUACCGCAUACGCCCUACGGGGGAAAGCGGGGGAUCUUCGGACCUCGUGCUAUUAGAUGAGCCUGCGUAAGAUUAGCUAGUUGGUGGGGUAAUGGCCUACCAAGGCGACGAUCUUUAGCUGGUCUGAGAGGAUGAUCAGCCACACCGGGACUGAGACACGGCCCGGACUCCUACGGGAGGCAGCAGUCGGGAAUAUUGCGCAAUGGGCGAAAGCCUGACGCAGCCAUGCCGCGUGUGUGAAGAAGGCCCUAGGGUUGUAAAGCACUUUCAAUUGGGAGGAAAAGCUAAUGGUUAAUAGCCAUUAGCCCUGACGUUACCUUUAGAAGAAGCACCGGCUAACUCCGUGCCAGCAGCCGCGGUAAUACGGAGGGUGCAAGCGUUAAUCGGAAUUACUGGGCGUAAAGCGCGCGUAGGCGGUUUUUUAAGUCGGAUGUGAAAGCCCCGGGCUCAACCUGGGAAUUGCAUCCGAUACUGGAUAACUAGAAUGCGGGAGAGGGAGGUAGAAUUCCAUGUGUAGCAGUGAAAUGCGUAGAUAUAUGGAGGAAUACCAGUGGCGAAGGCGGCCUCCUGGCUCGACAUUGACGCUGAGGUGCGAAAGCGUGGGGAGCAAACGGGAUUAGAUACCCCGGUAGUCCACGCCGUAAACGAUGUCUACUAGCUGUAAGGGGUACUUGAGACCUUUGUAGCGCAGCUAACGCAAUAAGUAGACCGCCUGGGGGAGUACGGCCGCAAGGUUAAACUCAAAUGAAUUGACGGGGGCCGCACAGCAGUGGAGCAUGUGGUUUAAUUCGAUGCAACGCGAAGAACCUUACCAGGCCUUGACAUCCCCGGACUUUCUAGAGAUAGAUUGGUGCCUUCGGGAACCGG